GAGUGUCCUUGAGUGGGACCCAGAAAACAUAAAAAGGUCCACUUAAUUAUUGUAUUUGAAAACUGUUUUCCUGGAAAUGAUGAAGAGAUAACAAAACGAAAACGAGUUCAUUUUCUAUGUUUUCUAAACAGUAAAAAGAGAAUGAGAGAGAACCAAACGCGCAAAAGACACGCCUCCCUUAGCUUACCUACAAGUUGACGAUACAUACCACCUCUCACAAGCCAAAGCCUUCCACUGAUAUAUCUCUUAUUCUUCCUCAAUGGAACAAAAGGAUAUUCUUAUCUUCUUAACAUCCUCCAUAAACCAAUAACUUCUACAUCAAAGUCAGAUUAUGUAAUUGAGCCUCCAUAAACAAUCUCUAUUCGAACACAGAGCUCAGAGCUUCUAUCAAUACCACAAAGGAGAUAUAUAUACAUAUAUAUUUAUGGGCAAGCAGCGUCCUUGCAAUGGAAGAAAGGGAAGCCAUGAUGAUCGAAGUCGGGCAUGUUAUUGCCGGCCUUAUUUUGUUGCAUCCUCAUUGUUUAGAGGGAUAGGAAGAUGUGUGUUUGCGGCUUGUUUCCCUGUAAUUCAGUGUUUUGGAUGCGAUGAAUGCAGGCACCGCCACCACCAAAAGCAUUUCUUUUGAGCUCUUUAUCCCUUUUUUCUCUUAUUCCAUUACUGUUGUCAUUUUUAUUGACUCUUAAGUUAUUGAAGCUCUGCUGUAUUUAUAAAGUUGAUUAUUUCUUUAUAAAGAGCAGGAAAGAGAAGCAGGCAGUUUGGCAUUGAUUACAA